AGAGUUUGAUCCUGGCUCAGAUUGAACGCUGGCGGCAUGCCUUACACAUGCAAGUCGAACGCGAAAGCGGGGCAACCCGCAAGUAGAGUGGCGAACGGGUGAGUAAUACAUCGGAACGUAUCCAGUAGCGGGGGAUAACCUGUCGAAAGAUAGGCUAAUACCGCAUACGAUCUACGGAUGAAAGCGGGGGACCGCAAGGCCUCGCACUAUUGGAGCGGCCGAUGUCGGAUUAGCUAGUUGGUGGGGUAAAAGCUUACCAAGGCGACGAUCCGUAGCUGGUCUGAGAGGACGAUCAGCCACACUGGAACUGAGACACGGUCCAGACUCCUACGGGAGGCAGCAGUGGGGAAUUUUGGACAAUGGGCGCAAGCCUGAUCCAGCCAUGCCGCGUGAGUGAAGAAGGCCUUCGGGUUGUAAAGCUCUUUCGGUGAAGACGAAACGGUUAGUGUUAAUAACACUGACUAAUGACGGUACUCACAGAAGAAGCACCGGCUAACUACGUGCCAGCAGCCGCGGUAAUACGUAGGGUGCAGGCGUUAAUCGGAAUUACUGGGCGUAAAGCGUGCGCAGGCGGUCUGUUAAGACAGGUGUGAAAUCCCCGAGCUCAACUUGGGAAUUGCGCUUGUAACUGGCAGGCUAGAGUGUGGCAGAGGGGGGUGGAAUUCCACGUGUAGCAGUGAAAUGCGUAGAUAUGUGGAGG
rnacentral:rRNA from 1 species